UACGUAGGGGGCAAGCGUUGUCCGGAAUCAUUGGGCGUAAAGCGCACGUAGGCGGAUUGCUAAGUCAGGGGUGAAAUCCUGGAGCUCAACUCCAGAACUGCCUUUGAUACUGGCGAUCUUGAGUCCGGGAGAGGUGAGUGGAACUGCGAGUGUAGAGGUGAAAUUCGUAGAUAUUCGCAAGAACACCAGUGGCGAAGGCGGCUCACUGGCCCGGUACUGACGCUGAGGUGCGAAAGCGUGGGGAGCAAACAGG
rnacentral:rRNA from 1 species